GGGGCGGAGCCGAGAGCUGGGAGCCGCAGCUCAGACGCUAGACGCUCACAGCUAUGCGCCCGGGGUAUCGGAGCGCUCGAGGGUCGCCGGCGUUGGGGCUGCUGCUGCUACUGCGACUACCGUGGCCGGUGUGGGGGGCUGAGGCGUUUCAAGGAAACACCCCUGGAGAGCCAGUCAUCCUGCACUGGGUUCUGGAUGGACGACCCUGGCGCAUGGUCACCCUGGAGCAGCCGGUCUCGAAGCUAGAAGUGGGGCUAGUGGCCUUGAAGGCUGAAGGCCAGGAGCUCCUGCUAGAGCUGGAGAAGAAUCACAGGCUGCUGGCUCCAGGAUACACAGAAACCCACUACAGCCCAGAUGGGCAGCCAGUAGUGCUGUUCCCCAACCACACGGAUCAUUGCCACUACCAUGGGCGUGUGAGGGGCUUCCUGGACUCCUGGGUAGUCCUCAGCAUCUGCUCUGGGAUGAGGGGCCUGAUCACACUCAGCAGCAAUACCAGCUAUUAUGUGCAUCCCUGGCCAGCUGGGGACUCCAAAGACUUCUUGACCCACAAGAUCUUCCGGACGGAGCAGCUACUCAGCUGGAAAGGGGCCUGUGGCUACAGGGACCCAGGGGACAAAAGGGACAUGGCCAGCCUUUCGUGUGACACCCAGAUCAGGGAGAGGCGGGAGUCCCUGGGGAGCCCGAGGUAUCUGGAGCUGUACAUAGUGGCGGAUCACACUCUGUUCUUGACCCAGCACCGGAACUUGAACCACACCAAACAGCGUCUUCUGGAGGUCGCCAGCUAUGUGGAUCAGAUUCUCAGGACUCUGGACAUUCAGGUGGCGCUGACCGGCCUGGAAGUGUGGACCGAGGAGGACCAGAGCCGCGUCACGCCAGACGCGAACGCCACGCUCUGGGCCUUCCUGCAGUGGCGCCAGGGACUGUGGGCACGGCAGCCACACGACUCGGCUCAGCUGCUCACGGGCCGCGCCUUCCAGGGCGCCACCGUGGGCCUGGCGCCGGUCGAGGGCAUGUGCCGCGCGGAGAGCUCUGGAGGCGUGAGCACCGACCACUCGGAGCUCCCCAUUGGUGCUGCAGCCACCAUGGCCCACGAGAUAGGCCACAGCCUCGGCCUCAGCCACGACCCCGACGGCUGCUGCGUGGAGGCAGCGGCGGAGCAGGGCGGCUGCGUGAUGGCCGCAGCUACCCGGCACCCGUUCCCGCGAGUGUUUAGCGCCUGCAGCCGCCGCCAGCUGCGCGCCUUCUUCAGGAAGGGAGGAGGCGCGUGCCUCUCCAACGCGCCGGACUCCGGGCUCCUGGUGCCCCGGGCGUACUGCGGGAAUGGCUUCGUGGAAGAGGGCGAGGAGUGCGACUGCGGCGCCGGCCAGGAGUGCCCGGACUCCUGCUGCCUUGCCCACAACUGCUCGCUGCGUGCGGGGGCCCAGUGCACCCACGGGGACUGCUGCGCACACUGCCUGCUGAAGCCGGCGGGUGCGCCUUGCCGCCGGUCUGCGGGCGACUGUGACCUCCCUGAAUUCUGCACGGGCGCCUCCCCCUAUUGCCCCCCAGACAUUUACCUACUGGACGGCUCGCCCUGCGCCAGAGGCCGCGGCUACUGCCGGGACGGCGCGUGUCCCACGCUGGAGCAUCAGUGCCAGCAGCUCUGGGGGCCUGGCUCCCGCCCAGCCCCGGAGGCCUGUUUCCAGGUAGUGAACUCUGCGGGAGACGCCCAUGGGAACUGCGGCCAGCAGGGCGACAGCAGCUUCUUGCCCUGUGCGCAGAGCGAUGCGCAGUGUGGGAAACUGCAGUGCCAGGGCGGGGAGCAGAGCGCACUGGCGCCACACAUGGUGCCGGUGGACUCCACCAUACCCCUAGGCAGCCGCCAGGUGACCUGCAAGGGAGCUUUCGUGCUGCCCGGCACCCACCUGGACCUGCCUGAUUUGGGCCUGGUUGAGUCAGGCACCCAGUGUGGACCUAGAAUGGUGUGCCAGGAAAGGCGCUGCCAGAACACUACCUUCCGAGAGCUGGACCUCUGCCUGACCGCCUGCCAUGGUCACGGGGUUUGCAAUAGUAACCAUAAUUGCCACUGUGCUCUGGGCUGGGCUCCGCCUUCCUGUGACAAGCCAGGGUUUGGUGGUAGUGUGGACAGCGGUCCUAUGCAGUCUGAAAACCAGGACACCUUCACGCUGGCGGUGAUCCUUAGUUUUCUGCUGCCUCUACUUCCUGGGGCUGGCCUGGCCUGGUGCUGCUGCCGGUACCCGGAACUCCGUCUCCAACAAUGCCUUUGGGGCUCAAGGAGGGACCCCACGUGCAGUGGACCUUGAGAACUCUGCCAGAGCCCAACAGCCACCUUGAGAAGCCUGUGCCCCAUGGCCCUGCUUGUACCCCCAAGCAGGUAGAGUCCAAAAGCCAAGAUCCUGUCUCUGGUGAAAAGUGACUCCUGAGAUGAGAAGACUUAAGGACAGGUGGCUACUGACAGCCACACCAAGAACUUGGACCCCGCCCCUCAGGGGCAGAGCCAGCGAGUCAGCAGACCUCUUGCACCUUCAGGCAGCUUCGAAAUUUCUUCCCUGAGUUACCGCCACACCACCUACUCCAGGACCCUGGAGCCUCAUCAAAAUUUCCUCAGUGCUGUCCCCAUUCCUUAGGGCUGCGGGAUCCUGCUAGGGUACACCCUCCAGCUCAAGCGAGAAUCCAUCAGUCCCAGGAGGGAAGGUCAUGUAGUCACUGACCUCCCGUCACUAGGGGGCGCUGGGUCAUGCUGGGCACCCAGAGAGGCCUCUGUCCAGGCAGCCUAGGUGUGUCUGCUACACUCACUUUAUUCGGACCUAGCUCUUUGGAGGGCAGUGACUGCUGGGCCAGAAGCCUGGACUCCAGGGGCCCUACAUUUCAGACUGAGUCUACUUCCCUGGAGCCUGGCCCCUGCAAAACAAACAAACGAAAUUCCUGGGACCUUCCUUCCUGCCAUCUCCUACCCUCUCUUGUCCCUCAGAUGCUUCCUUAGCCCCACCCCACUCCUAGUCCUUAGGUGAGGUUUCAGAGACGCAUGGGGCCUGCUGCAGUCCCCUUACUUUGGACAUUAAUCAGCCUCUCCUCCAUUCCAUGGGAGGGGACAAAGGAAGCCAUUUUGGAAAGGACACCAAAGUAGAAGUCAGAAGAAAGACAUGUUGCCCUGGGACUUCUAUCUUUUCUGUCUGUAAAUUCAACACCAUGGGGCUCCCUGAGGGUGACAAAGGGUGGUGGCUGGUGGGUGGAGCCUCAGAUGACAGCCAGGCCCCGUAUGUAUCGGGGCAUAGGAUGGUGUUGCCUAGCUUGAAUGUUCCCUUUGCUCCACCUCGCCUGCCUCCCCUGGACACUCAGCAGCCAUUUACUCUCUCCCCUUGCUUCAUGCAAAAGUUGCUGAGUGACCUUCUUUAUCAGCUAGCUGUUGCUACAUAACAAGACCACCCCAAAACUUAGUAGCUUAAAACAAUAACCAAUUCUGUGAAUUGGCAAGUCAGCUGGUGGUUCGAUUGGUCUCAGCUCAGCUCAGCUCACUUAUACAUUUGCAGUCAGCCGCUGGUCGCUGCUUCUGGGGUUGGCUGGCUGUUGGCUAGGGUGUUGGGGAUGAGCGGGCUAGCCCAGGCCUGUUCACAUAACAGUUGGGGAGGGUUCUAAGAGAGCAGGACCAGGAUUAGAGUGAGACAAGGGAGGCAUUCACCUUGGGCACAAAAAGUAAUCAAGAUAAGAGAUAUUUUAAUGUAAUAUUUUUAAAGAUAAAAAUUAAUACAAAAGUCCACGAUGAACAAAAUAUCAAAAAUUUAACUAAAGACAGGAUCAGUUACCAUACCAAGGCAUUUAUGGAGCCUGAGGAAGAAAGAAAAAUCAGUAGUUGUGAUCCUGAGGCAAGUACCUCACUCACCUCCUCUUGCAGAAGAGUAUGUGGAAGCUUGUCAGGCUUCUUGAGAGUCCAUGACUGGCACAUUUUACUUCCAUAACAUUCUGUGGGCCCAAGCAAGUCACAGGGCCAGCCCAGGUUCCAGGGAUUGGGAGGCAAACUCCACCUCCCCUCCAGGGAGGAGCAGCAAAAUCAUAUUUCAUAGGGUGUGAAGAACUGGGGAAUUUUUGCAAUCACCCACUGGCAGCAGAGAAGCAGCCCCAAGGCUCAGGCCUUGCUUUCACUCUACCAGCUGAAGGCGCUGAAUGAGACUGUCUGCUAAAGCCCACUCCUGUGUUCGCUGUGGGAUUCUGAUUUAUAGAGAUGACACAGCAAUGAGACAGAGAAGUUAAUGCCACUGAAAGAAGUUUUUAUGGCUUGCAUUUCCCUCGAGAGGGGGACUGCCCACCGUGCAGGGCCACAUAGGGAAGCACCCAGUUUGCAAGGAAAGACUGAGGAACUACCACAGACUGGAAGAAACUAAGGUGACAUGACGACUAAGUGCAAUGUGGGAUGCUGGAUGGGAUCCUGGAACAGAAAAAGGACAUUAGUGGAAAGACUGGGGAAAUUCAAAGUGGUCUAUAGUUAAGUGUCUUGUACCAACAUGAAUUUCCUAGUUUUAAUAAUUGUACUAUGGUCAGGUAAGAUGUUGAUGUUAGGGGAAACUGGGUGAGGGAUAUAAAGAGAACGCUAGCAUUUUUGCAAUGCUCUAACUUUUCUGCAAGUCUAAAAUUAGCUAAUAAAAAGUUAACAAUAAAACUAUAAAAG